GUCAUCUUCUGGCCAGAAUGGAGAAGUUUGCUUGAUGAAAUUGGCAAAUGUUUUUGCUAGUCACAACUGGGGAAUGCAGAAGGUCCUUACUCACACAGGACCACCAAUGCCGUGUCCAAUCUGAUAAUGAAGAUAAUCCAAAAUAACAGAUGUACCCUGGUUGGAGCCAGCGUUUAAAGACAUAUAAACAGAGGCUGAGCUAAGCAAGAGAAGUGACAAAGGAAAAGAAUGACCAUGGGGAGACAUUUUAAAGGUUCUCCAGGAAAUGCCACUGAGCAAUCGAACUCAGAAGCACCAGACUCUGAGGACCAAGAGACAGCUGAUGCAAGGCCAAGAAAAAACAAAUAAAUAAAGCCUGAGAAAGGAGCAGUGAUGUGACUCACGUUUCUUCUGACUCUCUUUUGAAUUCAGUCGUGGUGAUA